CCACUGCACUCUAGUCUGGGUGACAGAGUAAGACCCUGUCUCAAAACAAAACAACAAACCAUUCUUUCAGUGAACACUUUUUUAAUACCUAUUAUGUGCAUAGCAUGAGUUAGGUGCUGUGGGAAUUACAAAAGAAUUGUUCAUCUAGGGCUUUUUGCUGUAGGUGCUUACUUUCUAGCUGAGUUCCCAAUACUUAGGCCAUGAAAUGGUGAAGUGCAGUGAAGGAGUACGCGCAGAGAGUGCUCUAGGUGAGAAGGGACAAAGCAGUAGGGGAAGACUCCAGGGAGCCAUGGAAUCUGAGCAGUUUGAAGGACCAGUAGUAAAGAAUAGCUAAAAAGAACUCAUUUUAAUUUUCUUUUGGGAGAAUGCAAGGGAAGUGGUUGGGCUAGGUUAGGACAUAGGCUUGGGAGUUGGGGAAGAACCACUGUAUGUUUUAAAGUGUAAACCAAACAGUGGCAGAGGCAGAUCUCAAUCAGUUUAGAGGUUUAUUUUGCCAAGGUUGAGGACGCGCCCCCGAAAAAGAAACACAAGUCACAGUAGGAUCUGUGUCUUGUGCUUUUUCCGAAGAGGAAUUUGGGAACUUCAAUAUUUAAAGUGGAAAGAGAAAGCAGGAGGGGAAGGAAAAAAAAAAGGAGAGUGGGUAGGCAUUGAGGCAAGUGGUUACAUUCUUGGGAGGCUCUGAUUAGUACUGCUCAGUGAAUCUACAUUUUUACAUGUGAAAAGAAAGGAGUGGGGGGAAAAGUUGAUUAUGCAUUCGUCGUGUGCUCAGUAAAUCUACAUUUUACGUAAGAUAAAGUAAGCAUGUGAAAUUACAGCUGUUUGGGAACAAAAGUAAGGCAGUUUUUUCGUGAUUCAGUUUCCAGGCUUAACUUUCCCUCUGGCAUAGUGAGUUUGGGGUCCUGAGAUUUUAUUUUCUUUCACAGUGGCAAAUGGGGGAGACCCCAUGGAAAUAAUACAGGCUUUUUGCCCUAGCUUUUUAUAAUAUUUUAAAAAUUUCACACUUAAAAAAAUAGUACUGUGAGCACCUGUAUACCCUCCGUCUGUAUUCACUAGUUAACAUUUUGCUGUGCUUGCUGGCUUGUUCCAGGUGUGUGUAUUUUGAACCAUAGGUGGUAACCAUGCAUAUUUGUAUUAUUUUGCCUCAUCGUUUGAAUGUAAGUUGCAGACAUCAUGACAUUUCACCUCUAAAUACAUGCUAAGGAGGACUGUUUUCUGUAUAUACCUGCCAAACUGUUGUCACACCCACAAAGUCUAGUAUUGAUGCAAUAACCUGGCUUAACAUAUAAAAAAUAUUUAAACAUGAAAGAGUGUUUAUUUUUCUUAAAAAAAUGUCAGACUUGUCUGGGACCACGCAUAUUGAAUAAAUUGGUGUGGUGAGGCUAGAACCACAGAAACUGGUUUACACAUAUUUGAAGAGUCAUAUGUAGCCAUAAAAUAGAAAGAGGAAGCUCAUUGUAUUCUGAUCUGCUGUACAAUGAAAUCCUGAGUAAGAACAAGGCAUAGAAGAAUGUGAUAAAAGAGAAUUUAUAAACAUUUGCAUGUAUAUAGAUAUAAUAUCUCUGAAAGGAUAGAAAAAGAACCAUAAUAUUCCAUGCUUUUGAGAUAAGACAUUAGGUAGCUGGGAGACAGGUAGACUUUUCUCUGAAUACUCCUUUUUUACCUUUUAUGUUCUAUUUUGCAUUUUGAACUAUGUGAAUAUUACUUACUCAGAAAUAAAUGGUAAAGAAGCACGCAUAGGCUUUUGUUGUUACCAUUAUUAGCUCUGUAACAUGUAGGAGCAUACUUCUCUUUACAGCCUAAAAAGAUUUGGAGAAUGAGACAUGAGGCACAGACAAUGGAGAAAAAUUUUAUUAUUUCAGUUUUGAAGGGUGUUUUAGUCCAUUAGAGCUAUUGUAACAAACUAUUGUCGACUGGUUGGUUUAUAAACAACAGACAUUUAUUUCUCACAGCUCUGGACGCUGGGAAAUCCAAGAUCAAGGUGCUGGCAGAUUCAGUAUCUGGUGAGAGUCAGCUUGCUGGUUCAUAGAUGGCACCUUCUCCCUGGGUCUUCACAUGGUGGAGAGAAGCAGCAAGCUCUCUGGACCCUUAUGAGGACACCAGUCUCAUUCCUAAGGCAUUUUAUUAAUGCUUUUACGAGUUAGAAGAGUUGGGAUAAUUUACCAUCUGGAGUUUCUCUGCCUUGCUGAUCUGAGCUCAGACCUGCUAAUUUACCAGAGAUGACUGAUAACACCCUGUAACAGCUGAGAGGAAAAUGGAAGAAGCAGUGAUACUUUUAGUGAAACAGAAUAAACCACUGAACAGGAGAAAUGAGGAAGCCGUGAGUACCAGUGGAAGGACCAAGCCAGGAAGAGGGACUGGAACCAUCUCAGAAGCCGUUCCCCUCAGCCUGGAACUUGCCCUGUCUCCUCGCAGAUGAGGUAGGAGGCUCAGCACAGGCUGGCGGGAGCAGCCCACAGCAGCAGUGAGGGUCAGUGGGCCUGUGAGUUAAGAAGAAGGUGGCACAGAGCGAGGGUCUCUGGGUCCUGUUUGACUUUUCCAUGACUGGGAUAAGUAGCCAGGGCUUGGCUAGUUGGAGAGUUACUCGAACCUCAGGUGACAGUUGUAAGGCAGCACAUGGUGAAAAAGAGUCCUAGCCUGGGAAAGUCCAAAAUCUUGGGUCUGCUUUUCAGUUCACUCACCUAUCUCUGUGACAUAGCAAAGUCUCUUAACUUCUUUAAUUUUCCGAUUAGUGGUAUAGUUGCAGGAAUGAAAUAAAACUGGUCCUGAUUACUCAGAGAUUCAUUUACUGAUUACUCUUUUUGUGAUCUGAAUAAAGAGUACAACAUCUCUCAAAAGGUAACAAUUUGAUAUUUCAGGAAAUUAGAGAAGUUAAGAGACUUUGCUGUAUUAUGCAGAUAGUUGACUGACAGCUGAGCCCAGACCCAAGAUUUCAUUUAUAAAACAAAAGAGAAGUACAUACUCUGAGGUUUAUCCUAAAUAAACUAGUCUAGGUAAGUGGCUGAGCUAGGUUUGCCAUGAAUCAAUCUGCUGAGUAUAUUUCUUGGUAACUAGUUCAUCUUUCCUUAAUUCAGUCAACAAAUAUGAUACCAAGUUUAGUAAGAUGAUGACGGAUGUCAUGUAAUACUCCAUCUGGAAGACUGUGUGCUUCUCAGCUUCCCUAACUUUUCUUAAUCUACCUUAAGCUUCCCUUCUGAAAGGUUUCUGUCUUUCCUAACAGUCUCUUCUUACCGCCAGCUACCUCUUGUGUUUAAGAAUUUAAGGAAGAUGAGCUAGGAAUCAAGAAAUACCCAGAACUGAUUCCUGUCACUGGCCCCACCCUGCCACUUGCCCAGAGCUGUGGCAUAAAUUUUUUUAAUAGGCUGAAAUAAAGAUAUGAAUAGUAUUUUGGUAUUAAGCAUUGAUAAAAGUAAAGGCCAUGAGAUAUACCUGCUCUCACCAUGUUAAUUUUCUAUUAUUGGUAUUAAUAAAUUAUUACUUACUAACAUAUUCACAAGAAUUGCAUCGAGAAAAAAAAGCAGCCACAGGCCAAACCUUUUGAAUUUCAAAUGUUUAUAUUAAUGUAUUGUAUUCUAGAAAAGUAGAAUUGUCUUAAGUAGCUUUGUAAUAUAAAGUCAUCUAUCAGCCCAUGACACCUAUUAGAAUGUUUCAACCUUUGUCUCCCACUUUUUUGUUUCUAGACUGAGUGUACUUGGUCUGGUAUUUGUGGCAUAACUUACAGAACACAUAAGAAUGAUACAGACACUACUUAAUGACGACCUAGUACAAGCUUAGAUAGCUAAGGUGAAAGCUUCUGUGGCCUUAACAUUUUCCUCUUGAAGAAUGUAUUUGCUGUAAUAAAAUACAGUGACUACUUGAAAUCUAUAAACUUAUGUGAGGUCUGGAUAAAUCUGAGCAACUUUCUUUUUUGUGCUCCAGGAACCCAUGCACUAUAUAUACAAAUAAAGCUUAAGUAAACAUCA